GCGGGGGUAGCCAAGCCUGGCCAAAGUUGCCGUUGGUUAUUGGAGGCGCAAGGCUUAGGACCUUGUCCCGAAGGGGUUCGUGGGUUCAAAUCCCACCCCCCGCACCA
rnacentral:tRNA from 1 species